AAAUAAACUACUUUCGCAUGAAAGAAGUUUAAAAAAAGGCGGCGUAAAGCUGUCGCUAAAGGAUGGACCUGCGAUGCAUUAGCUAGUUGGUAAGGUAACGGCUUACCAAGGCGAUGAUGCAUAGCCGAGUUGAGAGACUGAUCGGCCACAUUGGGACUGAGACACGGCCCAAACUCCUACGGGAGGCAGCAGUAGGGAAUCUUCCACAAUGGACGCAAGUCUGAUGGAGCAACGCCGCGUGAGUGAAGAAGGUUUUCGGAUCGUAAAGCUCUGUUGUUGGUGAAGAAGGAUAGAGGUAGUAACUGGCCUUUAUUUGACGGUAAUCAACCAGAAAGUCACGGCUAACUACGUGCCAGCAGCCGCGGUAAAU
rnacentral:rRNA from 1 species